rnacentral:lncRNA from 1 species
AAAAGCACGCACCUCUUUAUUUUGCUAGCUUACAUGACGUUGUGAUUGGAGUGUCACUGGAGUCCUAAUCUAGAUUGAGUAAUCAACGUGAUUACCCACCUAGACCUUCAAGUAAUUGUAAGAAAAAUCCACACACCAAGCAAACCCUAAGAUAAUAGGAGAAUAGGAGUUUAGGACGUUAAAUCUCGCUCCUUGAGAUAAAUAAGAUGAAUAGAUCAACUUUACAGUCACUUACAAAUUGGAUCUGCGGACCAGAUGGAGAGGAUUAGAGAUUGUGUGUGUGUGUGUGGGGAGGGGGGGG